ensembl:lncRNA
UUCACAUUUCCACUAUAUAUAUAUAUAUAUAUAUAUAUAUAUAUAUAUAUAUAUAUAUAUAUAUAUAUAUAUAUAUAUAUAUCCUAAUAUCUUGAUUGCAUGGAAAUAGAUCUGAUUCAGCUCUUCCAAGAGUUUUCAAACCUUUAUUUUUUGUUCUUAAGGAACGUCAACGCUCCAAUCACCCUGUUGGUCAUAAGAAAUCAUAAGCAGUUCACAAAGCAUCAGCAUGACAAAGCAUUUAGAACAAAGAUGAGAAAUACUCCACCUGUACUUUACUGCUCCAGUAAAGCACAUGUCCUUCUGGUUUAAGGAAAAGUUUCCGGUUGAGCCGGAAGGACAACACAAGUCAACAUGUGAGACAGAAGAUGGGUGAAGGACAUGCCAGUAUCCAUUUACCAAUAUAUCAGGAGGUCCUGCCUUAAAAGAGAAAGCCUGACGAGCCUUACCGUCUUGUGCUUCGAAGUGGUGAGAAUGAUUCUUGCUUAAAGAAAUAGUUCAUCUAAGAACUAAUUUUUCUGUGUUUUUUUAUUUUUUUUAUUCUGUCAUUAUUCAACUUUUAAAGCCCGGACACACCAAGCCGACUUCAGAGAACUAGUGGCGAUGAAAGCCGACAGUGUUGUCACCUCACGUCGGCAGCGUUGGAUCAAAAAGCUGCACUCAUACACACCCCACAGACUACAGCCGACAGUAACCUAACACGUGUGUUCUACGCAUGUGUGAGAGGAAUUAACUGUCUAUAUCAGCAGCUAUCGAUACCUAUAUAUUCGUCAUUCAAAAGGAGAAACUGAAACAAAGAUAUACGAGUCAAACGCAGAUAUACGAAGCGUAAACAAAGUAGCACUUGCUUACCAUUUUGAAUAUCAGUAAUGUUGAUAACUUUAAUCAUUUUAAGCAGCUUGUUUUCAUCACUUUUGCUUUAAUUCUCGGGCACUGACUCGUUUGCUAAACUGAACAUCCCAUCAGAGCUCAUGCCGACAGUCCCAACGGCCCCAACGCCGAUUCAACAUGUUGAAUCGGGCAAACUGCCGCCAACGUGAGCCCGAAGAGAGCCGACGAGGGGAACACACCAAACAAACUAUCCCAACUGUCGCUCGCCGCUGGCCCGACGUUGGCAAACGGCCGACCGUCGGCUUGGUGUGUCCCGGCCUUUAUGGUUGAAAAGGGCGCAAUAGUACAAAAGCUACGGAUGUCACGGAUCAUGAAUGCACUGUUUCCUGCCCGUUAAGGUUACGUCAUGUUAAUUGUUUCAUGUGGGCGUUACCGCUGAUCAUCAUGAUCAGUGACAGCUGCAGCUCAUUCCAACAGCCUACUUAAUGCCCUGUCUUUCGUCUCUUGUUUGUCAGAUCGUUG